CAAUAAAUCACAAUGCGGAACAAUGUUUUGCAAUUGGAUUGAGAACAACGUACAAACCUUAUCGAUAAACAAUUGGAGGGCAAGUCUGGUGCCAGCAGCCGCGGUAAUUCCAGCUCCAAUAGCGUAUAUUAACGUUGUUGCAGUUAAAAAGCUCGUAGUUGAAAUGAAGGGUAGUUGUGUAAUGAAUACAUUCGUGUAUUUUGUUAUUCAAGUAUCCUCCUUCUAAAUUCGAUAUAUGAGUAUUAAUUUACUUGUAUAUGGUUUUAGACAUUUACUGUGAGAAAAUUAGAGUGUUCAAAGCAGGCAUUUGCUUGAAUAUAUUAGCAUGGAAUAAUCAUGUAUGAUUUUCAUGAUGUAUUUGAUUGGUUUGGUUGAUGAGAAUAAGAUUAAAAGGGACAGUUGGGGGUAUUCAUAUUCAAUAGUCAGAGGUGAAAUUCUCGGAUUUAUGGAAGAUGAACA
rnacentral:rRNA from 1 species